rnacentral:rRNA from 1 species
GGAAUUUUCCGCAAUGGGCGAAAGCCUGACGGAGCAACGCCGCGUGAGGGAUGAAGGCCUCUGGGCUGUAAACCUCUUUUAUCAAGGAAGAAGAUCUGACGGUACUUGAUGAAUAAGCCACGGCUAAUUCCGUGCCAGCAGCCGCGGUAAUACGGGAGUGGCAAGCGUUAUCCGGAAUUAUUGGGCGUAAAGCGUCCGCAGGCGGUCUUUUAAGUCUGUCGUCAAAGCGUGGAGCUUAACUCCAUUACUGCGAUGGAAACUGGGAGACUAGAGUGUGGUAGGGGCAGAGGGAAUUCCCGGUGUAGCGGUGAAAUGCGUAGAUAUCGGGAAGAACACCAGUGGCGAAGGCGCUCUGCUGGGCCAUAACUGACGCUCAUGGACGAAAGCCAGGGGAGCGAAAGGGAUUAGAUACCCCUGUAGUCCUGGCCGUAAACGAUGAACACUAGGUGUCGGGGGAAUCGACCCCCUCGGUGUCGUAGCCAACGCGUUAAGUGUUCCGCCUGGGGAGUACGCACGCAAGUGUGAAACUCAAAGGAAUUGACGG